AGCAGCCGCGGUAAUUCCAGCUCCAAUAGCGUAUAUUAAAGUUGUUGCAGUUAAAAAGCUCGUAGUUGAAUUUCGGGAUCAAUUAGUCGGUCGUGCCUCUGGUACGUACUGGUUUUAUUGGUUCCUCCCUUCUGACGAAACAUGAUGUCAUUAAUUUGGUGUCGUGGAGAAUCAGGACUGUUACCUUGAAAAAUUAGAGUGUUUAUAGCAGGCUAACGCUUGAAUACAUUAGCAUGGAAUAAUGAAAUAGGACGUUCGACCCUAUUUUGUUGGUUUCUAGGAUCGACGUAAUGAUUAAUAGGGAUAGUUGGGGGCAUUAGUAUUCAAUUGUCAGAGGUGAAAUUCUUGGAUUUAUUGAAGACUAACUACUGCGAAAGCAUUUGCCAAGGAUGUUUUCAUUAAUCAAGAACGAAAGUUAGGGGAUCGAAGACGAUCAGAUACCGUCGUAGUCUUAACCAUAAACUAUGCCGACUAGGGAUCGGA
rnacentral:misc_RNA from 1 species